CGCACUUGUUUUAUCUUAUGAUGCUGCAUGAAUCGAUAGUUCAUAUAUUUUUUGCUGAUGGGCAUUGUGUUGUGUGCAAGGGCUGUGGAUAGUUUAUCCAUUUACUUGUGGAAGGAUAGCUUGUUUGUUUUCAUUUGAGAGCUGUGUGUGUGUGUUUUUAUCAGUAUAAAAUACUGUGUACUCUCCUAAUGAAUUUGGAAAAAAAUAGCAGUUGGGUAAUUUUUUUAAGACAAUGAAGAACUGAAAGUUCUGACUGAACGUAUUGAAUGCCACAGGAAUGGCUGAGGGAGAAACGAAAACAAGCUAUUUUCCACGCCCCCCUGUGAAAGGCAGGUCCCCACUCAUGCCCAUGACAUCUCGCACUCACGUGACUGAGUUUUCCUUUCUCGCCACCUCACUCGAGCCCAGCUGAGUUCACGGGACUCCUUGGGCCCCCGCGUUUCCUGACCUGUCUUCCCGGGCUUCCUCCCUCCGCGCUCUCUGCCGGGCCACCAUGUCCCACUCCUGCAUGUGAGGGAUCUGCUCAGACAUCAGCAUAUAGAUCGGCCUUUCAUGACUACACUCGGGAAAACAUCUGCGUCUACCCCGGCCUGGCCUGUGUGUUUUCUCCGCAGCACGGCUCUCCACGCGUGAUGUGACAUGAGGGCACCCGUGACCCCACAUGCGACAGGGUUGUCCACUGUGGAAUGAAGCAAUUCAAUCUCCGAUCACUUACCCCAGAGUGAGAAAAACAUCUGAAAUUUAUAGGACGUCUUUUGAAAUGACCCUCCCCUCCUCUCCUGCACUGG
rnacentral:lncRNA from 1 species